rnacentral:misc_RNA from 1 species
GUCGGCCGCAGCGUUGGUGUGGCGCUACUUGCCAUCGAUUGUUUACUUGUCUGUCCUAGAGUGCCCUUUGGAAACCCUUUUUAAAAGACAAAUUACACUGACGCUUCGAGAAAGAAAUUAGAGAUGGAGGAGGGUAUACUCUCACUGCGUUGGAAUAAUCAUCGAUCAACAUUUUUCCAUAUUUUAUCUACACUUCAUAGGAAGGAACUUUACAGUGAUGUAACGUUAGCAUGCAAUGGUAAAUUUUUCCCAGUGCAUAAGUUGGUGCUUUCAGUGUGUAGUGAAUAUUUUGAAGAAAUGUUUAAGCAGACCACAUGUAAACAUCCCAUAAUAGUACUUAAGGAUAUUCUUCACGAUGACCUUGAAGCGCUUCUCAAUUACAUGUAUGCGGGUGAGGCAAAUGUAGCGCAAAAUGACCUCGCCAGAUUAAUUAAAGCUGCUGAGUGUCUAAGAAUCAAAGGUCUAGCCGUCCCGGAUGAAGCCCCCCCUUCCAGUGAGAGUAAAAGAUCCCAUACUGAGGGGCUGAGAGAGGAAGCGCCUCACCCCAAGCGGCGGAAACAUGAUGACAGCUCAUCGGCCUCCUCCAAGUCGAGCCAAGGGCGGCAGUCGGAGGAUGAACCCAAAGAUAAAAAUUGCAAGGAAUUGUCCAGCUGUAUGGAACAACAGCAACAGCAGAGUGGAAGAUAUAGUGGGCAGAGUACGGGAUUACAGCAAAUAACGAGUCCUGAACUACAACUUGAAUUAGAAAUGGGGAGAUCAAGUCAAGACGACAACAGUGCUACUCAAGAUCUAGCUGAGGUUGUCCUGGAUGAACAGCCGCUGAUCAAAGAGGAGAUCCAGGAACCCAAGCACGAACACGAUGACGACAUAACACACCAAACGGACUCGGAGGCAAGCAUCAGUUUUGACCCCCUCAAUUCUGGGGAUGAAAGAGGAGGGGGUACAGGCAUAUAUGACCCACAGCUGAUGGUCUCACACCCACAGAGUGUCCUACAAGAUAUCAUGGUGCAAGGGGUCCCGGGCCCUUCUGGACUGCCCACGGACUCCAUCACCAGCUGGGAUUCAGGUGGAAACGUAGGCUUUUCACUAGAAGGAUUCACAGGCGAGGAUGCGAGGACGACCCAGGCCAUGGAGUCAUUGGGGGUCGCAGCUGCAGCUGUGGCAGCGACCGCGCUGUUGUGCCCUUAUUGUCGCCGGGCCUUCAUGUACCGCAGUGAUUUAAGCCGGCAUGUGAGAACACAUACGGGUGAGAAGCCUUUCACCUGCCCUCACUGCUUGUAUAAGGCAUCCCAGAAGUCGCACCUCCAAGAACAUAUCAAGAGGCGGCACUAUGAGUUAUAAAUUGAUAAGUGUGCACAGUGGAGCUGGAAAGAGACCAUAGAGGAGUCUCUCUCCUAGAUUCUUGGGACAUAUAUUUUAUGAUAUUAUGAAAGCCAGAUACUUAGAUGUUCGUUUGAAUGCCAAACAUGCUAAUAUGCUUAGCAUGGGGAUUGUUGUCCCUUGGAAGUGAAUUUCUUGUGUAAAUGUUAUGAAAGACAUUGAAUUUUUAAAGUGAGAUUAUGAAAAAAACAACAAUAAAAAGUGCUACAAAGAAAAUAUAGGAAAUGAACAGCCAUGGUGCAGGAAGGAAAACCGACAAAGAAAAGAAAAAUUGUACCAGGGACAUGAAAUGCGUAUAUACAAUAUAUACUUGUGUGAAAUAAAAAUACCAAGACUAUUAUAUCGUACAUUCCAUUAUGUUUGUGAUGAAUCUUAGUCAUUAGGCAAUAAUUUGUACAGUGAAAGUACAAAAAGGAGUUAUAUAUGUAAUACAGAUGAUAUAGCAUACUGUAUUUUAAUUAUAAAGUGUGAGUGGUUAUGUAUUAAGCACUGGUAAAAUUUAUGUACAGUGUAAGUACAAAAAGAGAUAAGAUUUUAUGUAUAUCUCUUUUACAAUGUGUUGUGUGGAGAUUUUAACA